CCUACGGGUGGCUGCAGUCGAGAAUCAUUCACAAUGGGGGAAACCCUGAUGGUGCGACGCCGCGUGGGGGAAUGAAGGUCUUCGGAUUGUAAACUCCUGUCAUGUGGGAGCAAAUUAAAAAGUUAGUACCACAUGAGGAAGAGACGGCUAACUCUGUGCCAGCAGCCGCGGUAAUACAGAGGUCGCAAGCGCUGUUCGGAAUCACUGGGCGUAAAGCGUGCGUAGGCUGUUUCGUAAGUCGUGUGUGAAAGGCGCGGGCUCAACCCGCGGACGGCACAUGAUACUGCUAGACUUGAGUGAUGGAGAGGUAACCGGAAUUCUCGGUGUAGCAGUGAAAUGCGUAGAUAUCGGGAAGAACACUAGUGGCGAAGGCGGGUUCCUGGACAUUAACUGACGGUGAGGCACGAAGGCCAGGGGAGCGAAAGGGAUUAGAUACCCGAGUAGUC
rnacentral:rRNA from 1 species